rnacentral:lncRNA from 1 species
GGGCUGGUCCUGCUCCCAGGGCAUCGCUCCCCUCCCAGUGCGAGGAUGCUGCCAGCAGUCCCAGCAAUCAGCCUAUUCGUUUGGGAUGAGCUGGGAACAGUGUUGGCUGCUGUGCCUGCCCCGGCACCCGGGUGGCAUUUUGGGGACAGAACGUGCAUUUUUUUUUGCUCUCUGAGCGUGGGAGCAGCGCCCCGUGCACGGCCCCGGGGCAGAGCCGCGUGCCCUGCCGGGACCCCCUCUCCUCUUGCAGACCUCCGACAAGGGGCCCACGACAGUCUACGCCAGCGUGACACUGCCCAUGAUCUGAGCCUCGCCGUGGCAUUGUGCUCUGGGGACGGCACAGCCACAGAAUGGAACGGGGCUGCGGGCAAGUCCAUCACGUUUCGUCUGCAGCGCCUCUUGGGAAAGCACGUAGCCUGGCACUUUCAGAGCGAACUGCUAGCAACUGUCAAAUUUGGAAACCCUCCUGACAUCAUUUAUUUUGACCAAACCUACAAGAGUCGCCUGAACUUCUCUGCCAAUGGCACCGCAAUCACCAUCUCGCAGCUGGCAAUGGAAGACGCUGGCAUCUACACGGCUAAAUUCUCUACAACGGCAAAAGCUCUCUUCAUCCUGCAUGUGUACGCGGAGCUGCCGCAGCCAGCGAUCACCUGCAUCUGGAGCAACUGCUCCACCGCCGCCUGCCACUACCGC